AAACAGCCCUAUAUGUUUUGAUUCUUUGGCAGUUUUGGCCCCCCAAGGCAAAAUAAAAAUAAAAAAUUUGACACGUGGCACCACACUUAGGGUGCCACGUCAGCGUUGACCGAGUCACACACUGGACUAGGGGUUCAAAACUGCCAAAGAAUCAAAACAUAGGGGGCUGUUU
rfam:Medicago truncatula strain A17 chromosome 4, whole genome shotgun sequence.